AGUGAACGCUGGCGGUAGGCCUAACACAUGCAAGUCGAACGGCAGCACAGUAAGAGCUUGCUCUUACGGGUGGCGAGUGGCGGACGGGUGAGGAAUACAUCGGAAUCUACUUUUUCGUGGGGGAUAACGUAGGGAAACUUACGCUAAUACCGCAUACGACCUACGGGUGAAAGCAGGGGAUCUUCGGACCUUGCGCGAUUGAAUGAGCCGAUGUCGGAUUAGCUAGUUGGCGGGGUAAAGGCCCACCAAGGCGACGAUCCGUAGCUGGUCUGAGAGGAUGAUCAGCCACACUGGAACUGAGACACGGUCCAGACUCCUACGGGAGGCAGCAGUGGGGAAUAUUGGACAAUGGGCGCAAGCCUUAUCCAGCCAUACCGCGUGGGUGAAGAAGGCCUUCGGGUUGUAAAGCCCUUUUGUUUGGAAAGAAAAGCAGCAGGUUAAUACCCCGCUGUUCUGACGGUACCCAAAGAAUAAGCACCGGCUAACUUCGUG
rnacentral:rRNA from 1 species